UACGUAGGGCGCAAGCGUUGUCCGGAAUUAUUGGGCGUAAAGAGCUCGUAGGCGGCCUGUUACGUCUGCUGUGAAAUCCCGGGGCUUAACCCCGGGCGUGCAGUGGAUACGGGCAGGCUGGAGGCAGGCAGGGGAGAACGGAAUUCCCGGUGUAGCGGUGAAAUGCGCAGAUAUCAGGAGGAACACCGGUGGCGAAGGCGGUUCUCUGGGCCUGUACUGACGCUGAGGAGCGAAAGCGUGGGGAGCAAACAGG
rnacentral:rRNA from 1 species